rnacentral:rRNA from 1 species
AGCCUGAUGCAGCGACGCCGCGUGAGGGAUGACGGCCUUCGGGUUGUAAACCUCUUUCAGCAGGGAAGAAGCGAAAGUGACGGUACCUGCAGAAGAAGCGCCGGCUAACUACGUGCCAGCAGCCGCGGUAAUACGUAGGGCGCAAGCGUUGUCCGGAAUUAUUGGGCGUAAAGAGCUCGUAGGCGGUUUGUCGCGUCUGCUGUGAAAGCCCGGGGCUCAACCCCGGGUCUGCAGUGGGUACGGGCAGACUAGAGUGCAGUAGGGGAGACUGGAAUUCCUGGUGUAGCGGUGAAAUGCGCAGAUAUCAGGAGGAACACCGAUGGCGAAGGCAGGUCUCUGGGCUGUAACUGACGCUGAGGAGCGAAAGCAUGGGGAGCGAACAGGAUUAGAUACCCUGGUAGUCCAUGCCGUAAACGUUGGGCACUAGGUGUGGGGGACAUUCCACGUUUUCCGCGCCGUAGCUAACGCAUUAAGUGCCCC